rnacentral:sRNA from 1 species
CUAAAAGUUACCCUGGAGACUUAAGUCCUCUGUUUAUCAUCAGAACAGGCACACCACUGACAGUGGCAGUGCAAGCUUCUCCACACUCAAUCAAUGUACCUCAAACCUGACCUGGACUGAUCUCUUCUUGUGGUGAAAGUAUAGUUCAGUCCCUAUGUCUUUUUAGUCCUUGGUCCCU